rnacentral:pre_miRNA from 1 species
GUUCAAGUAAUCCAGGAUAGGCUGUGGUCUGCGCAGUCGGCCUGUUCUCGAUUACUUGGCGCAGGAGCCGGCAGCCAG